AUUGAACGCUGGCGGCAUGCCUUACACAUGCAAGUCGAACGGCAGCGGACCUUCGAGUGCCGGCGAGUGGCGAACGGGUGAGUAAUAUAUCGGAACGUACCUUUCAGUGGGGGAUAACGUAGCGAAAGUUACGCUAAUACCGCAUAUUCUGUGAGCAGGAAAGCAGGGGAUCGCAAGACCUUGCGCUGAUUGAGCGGCCGAUAUCAGAUUAGCUAGUUGGUGAGGUAAAGGCUCACCAAGGCGACGAUCUGUAGCGGGUCUGAGAGGAUGAUCCGCCACACUGGAACUGAGACACGGUCCAGACUCCUACGGGAGGCAGCAGUGGGGAAUUUUGGACAAUGGGCGCAAGCCUGAUCCAGCCAUGCCGCGUGAGUGAAGAAGG
rnacentral:rRNA from 1 species